rnacentral:rRNA from 1 species
ACGUAGGUGGCAAGCGUUAUCCGGAUUUACUGGGUGUAAAGGGCGUGUAGGCGGGAGUGCAAGUCAGAUGUGAAAAUUAUGGGCUCAACCCAUAACCUGCAUUUGAAACUGUACUUCUUGAGUACUGGAGAGGCAGGCGGAAUUCCGUGUGUAGCGGUGAAAUGCGUAGAUAUACGGAGGAACACCAGUGGCGAAGGCGGCCUGCUGGACAGCAACUGACGCUGAGGCGCGAAAGCGUGGGGAGCAAACAG